GUGGGGAAUUUUGGACAAUGGGCGAAAGCCUGAUCCAGCCAUGCCGCGUGCAGGAUGAAGGCCUUCGGGUUGUAAACUGCUUUUGUACGGAACGAAAAGACUCCUUCUAAUAAAGGGGGUCCAUGACGGUACCGUAAGAAUAAGCACCGGCUAACUACGUGCCAGCAGCCGCGGUAAUACGUAGGGUGCAAGCGUUAAUCGGAAUUACUGGGCGUAAAGCGUGCGCAGGCGGGUAUAUAAGACAGAUGUGAAAUCCCCGGGCUCAACCUGGGAACUGCAUUUGUGACUGUAUAGCUAGAGUACGGUAGAGGGGGAUGGAAUUCCGCGUGUAGCAGUGAAAUGCGUAGAUAUGCGGAGGAACACCGAUGGCGAAGGCAAUCCCCUGGACCUGUACUGACGCUCAUGCACGAAAGCGUGGGGAGCAAACAGGAUUAGAAACCCUGGUAGUCC
rnacentral:rRNA from 1 species